rfam:Salmo salar isolate Sally breed double haploid chromosome ssa28, whole genome shotgun sequence.
UACCCCUGUAUUUGUAAGUCGCUCUGGAUAAGAGCGUCUGCUAAAUGACUUAAA